CCUACGGGGGGCUGCAGUGAGGAAUAUUGGUCAAUGGGCGGGAGCCUGAACCAGCCAAGCCGCGUGAGGGAAGAAGGUACAGCGUAUCGUAAACCUCUUUUGUCAGGGAACAAAUGCAGGGACUAGUCCCCGGAUGAGGGUACCUGAAGAAAAAGCAUCGGCUAACUCCGUGCCAGCAGCCGCGGUAAUACGGGGGAUGCGAGCGUUAUCCGGUUUUAUUGGGUUUAAAGGGUGCGCAGGCGGCCUGUUAUGUCAGCGGUAAAAUCCCGGGGCUCAACCGCGGCGAGCCGUUGAAACUGGGGGGCUGGAGUUGGAGAGAAGUGCGCGGAAUGCGCGGUGUAGCGGUGAAAUGCUUAGAUAUCGCGCAGAACCCCGGUUGCGAAAGCAGCGUACCGGCUCCACACUGACGCUGAGGCACGAAAGCGUGGGUAUCGAACAGGAUUAGAUACCCGGGUAGUC
rnacentral:rRNA from 1 species